rnacentral:misc_RNA from 1 species
GUUGCUGGCUUCCUUCAGUGGAUGGUCUGCUCUCCUUAAAUGCAUUAGCGGAAUCUCUUGUGGACCGCCUCUCGGUGUGAUAAUUAUCUAUACCGCUUGGCCUUGAAGCAAAUUUAUGGGACUCAGCUUAUAACCGUCUUUCGAGACAACUUUAAUAACAUCUUGACCUCAAAUCAGGUAGGACUACCCGCUGAACUUAA